GAAGGCUUGUAUGAAUGGUUGGACAAAAAGUAAUCUGUCUCAGUUAUAAUAGUUGAACUUAACUUUUAAGUGAAAAGGCUUAAAUACUUUAAGGGGACGAUAAGACCCUAUAAAACUUAACAAUAAUUUGAUUAAAUUAUAAAUUGUUAGUAUAACUUGAUUUUAAUUAAUGUUUGUUGCGUUGGGGCGACGGGAAUAUAAUUAGUAACUGUUCUUAAAUAUUUUAUUAACAAGC
rnacentral:rRNA from 1 species